GAUGAACGCUGGCGGCGUGCCUAAUACAUGCAAGUCGAGCGAACGGACGAGAAGCUUGCUUCUCUGAUGUUAGCGGCGGACGGGUGAGUAACACGUGGAUAACCUACCUAUAAGACUGGGAUAACUUCGGGAAACCGGAUCUAAUCCCGGAUGAUAUUUUGAACCGCAUGGUUCAAAAGUGAAAGACGGUCUUGCUGUCACUUAUAGAUGGAUCUGCGCUGCAUUAGCUAGUUGGUAAGGUAACGGCUUACCAAGGCAACGAUGCAUAGCCGACCUGAGAGGGUGAUCAGCCACACUGGAACUGAGACACGGUCCAGACUCCUACGGGAGGCAGCAGUAGGGAAUCUUCCGCAAUGGGCGAAAGCCUGACGGAGCAACGCCGCGUGAGUGAUGAAGGUCUUCGGAUCGUAAAACUCUGUUAUUAGGGAAGAACAUAUGUGUAAGUAACUGUGAACAUCUUGACGGUACCUAAUCAGAAAGCCACGGCUAACUACGUG
rnacentral:rRNA from 1 species